rnacentral:rRNA from 1 species
CCUACGGGAGGCUGCAGUCGAGAAUCAUUCACAAUGGGGGAAACCCUGAUGGUGCGACGCCGCGUGGGGGAAUGAAGGUCUUCGGAUUGUAAACCCCUGUGAUGUGGGAGCAAAUUAAAAAGAUAGUACCACAAGAGGAAGAGACGGCUAACUCUGUGCCAGCAGCCGCGGUAAUACAGAGGUCUCAAGCGUUGUUCGGAAUCACUGGGCGUAAAGCGUGCGUAGGCUGUUUCGUAAGUCGUGUGUGAAAGGCGCGGGCUCAACCCGCGGACGGCACAUGAUACUGCGAGACUAGAGUAAGGGAGGGGGAACCGGAAUUCUCGGUGUAGCAGUGAAAUGCGUAGAUAUCGAGAGGAACACUCGUGGCGAAGGCGGGUUCCUGGACAUUAACUGACGCUGAGGCACGAAGGCCAGGGGAGCGAAAGGGAUUAGAUACCCGGGUAGUC